rnacentral:rRNA from 1 species
CCUACGGGUGGCAGCAGUGAGGAAUAUUGGUCAAUGGACGCAAGUCUGAACCAGCCAAGCCGCGUGAAGGUAGACGGCCCUAUGAGUUGUAAACUUCUUUUGUACGGGGGUAAAGGCAGACACGCGUGCCUGUUUGAAAGUACUGUACGAAUAAGGAUCGGCUAACUCCGUGCCAGCAGCCGCGGUAAUACGGAGGGUGCGAGCGUUAUCCGGAAUUACUGGGCGUAAAGAGAGCGUAGGCGGGAUAUCAAGUCAGAUGUGAAAUCCUGUGGCUUAACCAUAGAACUGCAUUUGAUACUGUCAGUCUAGAGUAUGGGAGAGGUAGGUGGAAUUCUUGGUGUAGCGGUAAAAUGCGUAGAGAUCACGAAGAAUUCCGAUUGCGAAGGCAGCCUACUAGAACGUAACUGACACUGAUGCGCGAAAGCGUGGGUAGCAAACAGGAUUAGAUACCCGAGUAGUC